AGAUGAUGUCACCAUUAAAAUGAUAUAACAAACUUUUCUUGUAAGUUAAAAUAUCAUCUCUAGCUCUUUGAUAGUUAGAUGAGCAAUACAGCCCAUCUUUUUCACAUGUGCCUAUACAUUAUAAUAAAAAACAUUAUGAAAUUAAGGAAAACUAACAUUUACCUUAAUCUAGAGACAUUUAGAUUUGUUCAAGAGACAUCUACAUUUCCUAUAUUUAAAUAUUUCCCUUAGUAUCAAGUGAGAUUAACUUCUGAGGUGAAAUGUGCAAUUCCAUACCAUCCAGACCCACAAAACCAAAUUUUCCUAUUUGUACUUACAUAAUGACAAAUAUAGUAAUUUUCUGAGGCAAUACACACAGGCUAAUUUAUUGGAAAAAUUAAAAAACUUGUCACCAUCGUUUCUUGCUUAGUCAUGUAGCUGACAUAAUAAGCUUUUUAAAAAUGAAAUUGAUGUGAUAAAUAGAAGCUAUUUUGUUGUUGGCUAAAGCUUUCCAUUAAUCUUGGAGGUACUAUUCUUCCCACCUGUACUGCAGAUGUGUAGGAUCUAGCAGGACUGGGCUGGAAAGGGGGAGGGGCAAGGCAGGAGGAGGACUGCGUUCCCUAAACUACAUUCCCACUUCGUCACCCCACUGGAAUGUUUUAUAAAAACCAGACAUUAUACUGAUGUUCAACUGGACAUUAUUUUUAAAUUAUGUGCCCUUUCUGUUCGAUUGCCUGAAGACUAAACAAUUACUGUUUGGCUUUUGAAAAGUUCCAUAUUUGAAAUUAUAAACUUCUUCAGAUAAGGGCUUGAUUCAUUGUUAUAACAGGUGCAUUGUAAGUGUUCACUAUCACAGUUUGUCAGUGUAGUUUAUAGAUGUUUCACUUUGUUUACAGUUUAUCCAAGAUGCAUAGUAAGCCUGAUUUCAGUUGUAAGAGUGUAUUAUGCUUUUCUAGGUCUCCUUGAGGCAUAUCUUCAUAGAGAAACUGUUUACUUCAAUAAAACAUUUACCUUGAUGCUUUUGAAUCCCCCUAUAAAUUCCUCUGAAUACAGGAUCUGUCAAGUUGAUACCAAUAUCUGUGGAAAGCAAAAUAAAAAUAAAUGAUUAAUCAUGAAGAGCCUCUAUGUGAAACCUUUUCUUUAAAUAAAAGCUCAUACUUUU